rnacentral:tRNA from 1 species
UGGAUAGCUCACGUUGGUAGAGCACAGGAUUCAGGUUCCUGGGGUCGCGGGUUCGACUCCGCUCCAA